UAGAAAGUAUCUACUACAGCUAUGUUCAAAUGUAUACAGAUGCUUCAAAGAACACAGCUAACAACAUUUGUAUUUCAUUCAUAGUUCCAGAUUUCAACAUUAAAAUUGGCAAAUGAAUCAGUGAUGGAGUAUCGGUGCAUAAUGGGGAGAUGCUGGCAAUUCUGUCAGCAUUGCGAUGGGCUGAAGAUGUGAGACCAUUGAGAGCAGUUAUAUGCUCUGAUUCCAGCUCAUCAUUAAUCAGCUUGAAACGCAGCCAUUAAGACAGCAGACCAGAUGUCUUAAUAGAGAUACAACAAACACUAUAUAGAAUUCAAAUGAUGGGGCUAAAUAUGACAUUUGUAUGGAUACCAGCACAUUUAGGAAUCAAAGGAAAUGAAAUAGCUGACGAGUGUGAAAAGGAAGCCACAAAAACGAAUCACACUGACAUUACAGUAUGCCUUAGUAAAAUGGAAAUGAAAACCACAGUUAAGGACAAGUUGAAAGAAAGGUGGCAGAAGCAGUGGGAAGAGGAGAGAACAGGAAGGUGGUUAUACAACAUUCAAAGAAAAGUCGGUGUGAUGAGGAAAACGGGGAGAACCAGGAGAGAGGAAACAAUAAUAUCCUGGCUACGUUUAGGGCGCACAGGAUUAAACAGUACAUUAUGUAAAAUCCCAUCAUACAUCAUACAGGAAGAUGUACAGUCUGUGGUCAAGAAGAAACUUUAGAACAUGUUAUGAUUUACUGUCCAUUUAAUCAUUAGUGAAUGUACAGUUAUAAAACUUUACGAAGCAGAAGAAGAAGAUGAAGAAGAAGAAGAAGAAGCUGUCAAAACGAGAUGGUGUCGGCAAGAUUGCGGAUCGUGUAACUACUAUAUCAAAGACAACACUCAAAUUCCCAAUUGUGUUCCUGUCAGUCUCAGGACUUCUGUGACAUGGGAAACUCAGUUAAGCUUCAGAAGCGUUAAGAUAAAGGUGGUGAGGACUCGGGAGAUGUAUUGUUGGCCGUGCAAAGGUAUCUUACCUUAGUCAAGACCUUCCCCAGCCCACCUCCAGACAGACCCUUCCACAUCUAUUACACCUCAACAGGCUGAACCUGAUGAUGUGGCACUGAGCUGUUGUUCAUGUUCUGAGAUUGUGUACAGUAAGGCAAAGAAGAGAGACCACCAACCUGAUUAUUAUUGGGGUUUGUGACUCGAAAAGGUUGAGGACCACUGGCCUAGAACAUGCUGAUUGUAGGUGCUUGGAGUGCAGAGCCACUGCAGUCUUUUGUGAGGCUUGUCUGAAGAGGACUCCACCUUCCUGAUAAGUAGAAUAUCAAGUACAGCACCAGACGGCUUGAUGGGUUUGGGCUCACAGACGGGGAAAGGAAUGAAGAGGUUGUGGUCUUUCCAAGGAAGAUUUGUCAGAGUCACAAAGGAGAUGACUCCAUCGGACCGUCUUGACCUGCUGACUGAUGCCCUUCUGCAUUAUGGACGGAGAAAAUCAACUGACCUAGAGGUGCAGCUCCUGCAGAGAUUAGACAAAGCAGAGGAAAAAUAUCAAUUUUCGUUCAAGAAGACAUCUCAUCUGUCAUCAGAGAGGCACCAGUAAUGAAGUACAAUCCUGUAAGCUGUGUGGGUGAAGAAGUAACAUGAAAUGAAGCACUUUAUUAGAGCUGUAAUGUCUCCAGACACUGACUGGAAAAGGAACUACAUCAUCAAGCUAAUUCAAUUCUACAAACUCAAGUAAGAGUUCAAUGUGUUUAUGUAAGACUAUAUGGUAAUUACACCCAUCUUUAAGUGCCCUACUGAUGUGCUUCAACAUGGAAGCCUAGGUGUGAUUAGAUAGCUAUGAGCCAGACAAUAACGUAGCAUAUUGUUGAAGGCCCUCCCCAUGUCAAGCAUACAGACACUGAUAUACAAUGAUGAUGAGGAUGACAAUGAUAUGCCAAUGAUGAUGGCCAAACUACACGCCAUCUUGGACAGUGUCUCCCACCCGCUCCAU